rnacentral:rRNA from 1 species
AUUGAACGCUGGCGGCAGGCCUAACACAUGCAAGUCGAACGAGUGGCGGACGGGUGAGUAAUGUAUGGGAAACUGCCUGAUGGAGGGGGAUAACUACUGGAAACGGUAGCUAAUACAGCAUACCAUCGGAUGUGCCCAGAUGGGAUUAGCUAGUAGGUGGGGUAAAGGCUCACCUGGGCGACGAUACCUAGCUGGUCUGAGAGGAUGACAGGCCACACUGGAAGUGAGCAACGGUCAAGACUCCUACGGGAGGAAGCAGUGGGGAAUAGUGCACAAUGGGCGCAAGCCUGCUGCAGCCAUGCCGCGGAUAUGAGGCAGGCCUUGGGGUUGUAAAGUACUUUCAGCGGGGAGGCGUUACCCGAAGAAGAAGCACCGGCUAACUCCGUGCCAGCAGCCGCGGUAAUUC